rnacentral:rRNA from 1 species
AUUGAACGCUGGCGGCAGGCCUAACACAUGCAAGUCGAACGAGGGGCGGACGGGAGAGUAAUGUCUGGGAAACUGCCUGAUGGAGGGGGAUAACUACUGGAAACGGUAGCUAAUACCGUAUACCAUAGGAUGUGCCCAGAUGGGAUUAGCUAGUAGGUGGGGUAAAGGCUCACCUAGGAGACGAUCCAUAGCUGGUCUGAGAGGAUGACCAGCCACACUGGAACUGAGACACGGUCCAGACUCCUACGGGAGGCAGCAGUGGGGAAUAUUGCACAAUGGUCGCAAGCCUGAUGCAGCCAUGCCGCGUGUGUGAAGAAGGCCUUCGGGUUGUAAAGUACUUUCAGCGGGGAGGCGUUACCCGCAGAAGAAGCACCGGCUAACUCCGUGCCAGCCGCCGCGGUAAUUC